AUACGUAGGGGGCGAGCGUUGUCCGGAAUGAUUGGGCGUAAAGGGCGCGUAGGCGGCGCGGUAAGUCUGGAGUGAAAGUCCUGCUUUCAAGGUGGGAAUUGCUUUGGAUACUGCCGCGCUUGAGUGCAGGAGAGGUUAUCGGAAUUCCCGGUGUAGCGGUGAAAUGCGUAGAGAUCGGGAGGAACACCAGUGGCGAAGGCGGGUAACUGGACUGCAGCUGACGCUGAGGCGCGAAAGUGUGGGGAGCAAACAGGAUUAGAUACCCUGGUAGUCCACGCUGUAAACGAUGAAUACUAGGUGUGGGGGGUAUCGACUCCCUCUGUGCCGCAGUUAACACAAUAAGUAUUCCGCCUGGGGAGUACGGCCGCAAGGUUGAAACUCAAAGGAAUUGACGGGG
rnacentral:rRNA from 1 species